GACGAACGCUGGCGGCGUGCUUAACACAUGCAAGUCGAGCGAGUGGAUUCCCUUCGGGGAUGAAGCUAGCGGCGGACGGGUGAGUAACACGUGGGCAACCUGCCUUAUAGAGGGGGAUAGCCUUCCGAAAGGAAGAUUAAUACCGCAUAAUAUCAGAUUAUCGCAUGGUAGACUGAUCAAAGGAGCAAUCCGCUAUAAGAUGGGCCCGCGUCGCAUUAGCUAGUUGGUGAGGUAACGGCUCACCAAGGCGACGAUGCGUAGCCGACCUGAGAGGGUGAUCGGCCAAAUUGGGACUGAGACACGGCCCAGACUCCUACGGGAGGCAGCAGUGGGGAAUAUUGCACAAUGGGGGAAACCCUGAUGCAGCAACGCCGCGUGAGUGAUGAAGGCCUUCGGGUUGUAAAGCUCUUUGAUCAGGGACGAUAAUGACGGUACCUGAAGAACAAGCCACGGCUAACUACGUGCCAGCCGCCGCCGUAAUAC
rnacentral:rRNA from 1 species